UUUUUUUUUUUUUUUUUUUAAAGCUGGAAUUAAAGUCCAGUUUCUGCAGCUUGUGUAUAGUGAGAUUUGCUGGCUAGCACCUGACAAAACUCUGAGAUUGUAAUGCUAAGGUUUAAUGGUUGUAUGGUGUGACUUUUAAUGGCAAUACUGAGGAAACUAAGAUAAAUUAAAACCUAAUUGGGAACGUUAACAGCUUUACCAGUCUACACAUAUGGACCCCAGGAGAACCCUUUGAAAGAUGUUACAGUUAGCUCCUAUUGCAGGGCUUCCAGCCUUGGUCGAUGACCUCAAAAUUUGCUCCACUCUUUGUGGCCUUUAAACACUACUAAGAUGUGCACCGCAGCGUGCACAAAUACAGUGGUAGGAUGCAGAAGGGGCUUUAUUUUCUCUUGCUAACAGAAAAGCAGCUUAUUCCACAUCUGCUCAGUAGGAUGUUGUGUAAUUUUCAACCACUGUUGCAACUUUAAUGAUUAUGUGCAAGCACGUUGCCUGAUCUUUCAAAACAGAGCCCAACACGAUCCACAAAGAAAAGACAUUGCCAAGGUCAAAGUAAGAUGGGCUUCCUACUGCAAAGCCACGACUACUUUUAAUGUGUGGAAAUACUGAAAGAAUAAUAUUUGACCUAAUAUUUCACAAAAAAGCACAGGUGGACCACGCCUGCCACAUUAGUACCAGGAGCAGCAUCAUCCAUCUUUGCUUCACGGGCAGAACUCAAGCAUGUGCCUUUGCAAGCCAGACAAUGACCCCAUUUAAUUUUUAAAUCCUUGAGCAUUUCUUUCUGACAGAGAGUGCCAUUGAUGAGCAAAGGCCAUUGGUGGGAGCCACCUUGCCUACUGGCACCUGAAGGAGGCCAGGUAUAGUCUAUGGUAUGGCACCCUCUACAGUCCCACUCGUGGAAAAUAGCAGUCUCCUGCCUCAGGCUUAUCUUUGCUGGCUCUUGCAGAUUUCCAGGCAUGGGAUAAUUGCCACGGCCAUAGGAAGCAGCAAAGUGGGGAAUUAGCAACACAAGGAGGAGGCUUCAGAACAGUCUGGGGAGACUCUGUCCUUACCCUUCCCAACCAUCCUCUGCUCAUCUCCUACAGCCAAAUCUUAGCAGCAUUCACCCCUCCUCAAGAGGAGCUUCUUUCGCACUGCAGGGCAUGAAGAGGACAGGAAAUAGCAGCAAAAGUCAGAGAAGACAGAGGAACAAGCAUCUAAUCCAGCAAAUGGGAAAAGAUGAGGAAAAAUGGGGAAAAAAAGAAUGAACAGAAGGAAUAUAUCAACACAGGAGAGCUGGUUGCCAUCUCUAACAGCUCAUGGUGCUGAAUGGUGAGAAAAAACUGAAGACUUGAAAAAAAAAUAUAGAAAAAAACCAUUUAGGAAGGGUUGUGUUUUAUUAUUCUGCUGCCCCGAGAGAGCUGCUGUCUUUCAUGGGUCACCUCAGCCUGAACCCAAAACAAACAUGGUGACAGUAAAUUACACCAACAGGUACCAAAUGUCUUCAUCCAGCCUGCAGAACAGGGACCAGCAAGCACAGCAGUGACUUGCAAACGAGUUAAGCAACAGCUUGCCUACUUCAGUUCCAAAAGGGCAUUUUCAUUUCACUCAGCUGUUUUUAAGUUAUUCAGAAUUAAAACCCCAGAGUGACACAGACUCAGCGAAUUGCUGGUGGCAUUAACUGUGGGAAAACACUUGAAGAGUAGUUGUAAUAUUCCUAAUUUCAACAUGUGCACACAUCCCUGAGGAUGCAGAGCAGCGCCCACUCUUGUGAGUCCUCCUGUAACUCCAUCCCCACCAAACCUCAUGCUGUAUGCCUCCAUUCUUAGCCCUGGCUCUCCUUGCUGGGGCCAUUCAUGUCUCCACAUUUAGGGAGCACAUUUAGAUGAUUCAGACACAUUCCCUGCUUGAUAUAGAGGCAUGUGUCAGAAGCUAGGUAAGGUCUCCUCCAAAACUCCCUGGCUGCAGUUGAGU
rnacentral:lncRNA from 1 species